CCACACACAGGACUUGAACUCUAUCAGCAGCACUCCAUAUCUAAGCAGAGCAAAGACGAUACAACNCUCUGUACUUCCCCAGGACUGCUAGACACACUGGAGAGAAGCCGCUUCCAUCUGCCCUGCGUCUGUAGAGUGUCCAGCAUCCUGACCCAUGAAUCAGAGACUACUGUCUGAUUUGCCUUGACUCAGAGAGUCUGAACCCGAGCUUCAGCUAAGAUACCUCACACAGGUGGCUGUGGGCACACCUGAGGAAACAAAGUCCGGCACACAGCUGGCAGAAGCCAUCGCAGCAACAUAAGCUCCCGAGGAAGGGGUCCAGAGACAGAGCAAGAUGAGCUCCGAGACAGGCCCUGUAGCUGUUGAUCCCACUCUGAGGUAAGACAGGAAUGGGACCACCCAAUUCAAUCACACAGAAAUGGACAUUUAAGAGUCACAGGACUAGGGGGCUGGAGAGAUGG